AGAAUGAACGUGGCGGCGUGGAUUAGGCAUGCAAGUCGAACGGGCCCGGGCUUCGGCCGGGUCAGUGGCGCAAGGGUGAGUAAGGCGACGGUAACCAACCCCAUGAUUGGGUAUAGCCGCGGGAAACUGCGGGUAAUCCCCAGCGACAUGCGGGGCCGGCAUCGGCCUCGCAUCAAAGCUUCGGCGUCGUGGGACGGGCCGUCGUGGUAUUAGCUAGUUGGCGGGGUGAUGGCCCACCAAGGCCGUGAUGCCUACCGGGCGUGCGAGCGUGGCCCGGCACACUGGGACUGAGACACUGCCCAGACUCCUACGGGAGGCUGCAGUCGAGAAUCUUCGGCAAUGGGCGCAAGCCUGACCGAGCGACGCCGCGUGGAGGACGAAGGCCUUCGGGUUGUAAACUCCUGUCGAGGGGGAGGAAGGCGCAAGCUUGACCGAUCCCUGGAGGAAGCACGGGCUAAGUUCGUGCCAGCAGCCGCGGUAAGACGAACCGUGCGAACGUUAUUCGGAAUCACUGGGCUUAAAGCGCGUGUAGGCGGAUGGGAACGUCGGCCUCUGAAAUCCCCCGGCUCAACCGGGGAAGUGGAGCCGAAACGACCCGUCUGGAGGGACGUAGGGGGACCUGGAACUUCCGGUGGAGCGGUGAAAUGCGUUGAGAUCGGAAGGAACGCCCGUGGCGAAAGCGAGGUCCUGGACGUCUGCUGACGCUGAGACGCGAAAGCCAGGGGAGCGAACGGGAUUAGAUACCCCGGUAGUCCUGGCCGUAAACGAUGGGCACUGGAUAGGGGGCUCGCCGGUGGGCUCCCUGUCGUAGCGAAAGCGUGAAGUGCCCCGCCUGGGGAGUAUGGUCGCAAGGCUGAAACUCAAAUGAAUUGACGG
rnacentral:rRNA from 1 species